rnacentral:rRNA from 1 species
CGGCACGGGUGAGUAACGCGUAUCCAACCUGCCUUACACUCUUGGAUAGCCUUCUGAAAGGAAGAUUAAUCCAGGAUGGGAUCAUGAGUUCACAUGUCCGCAUGAUUAAAGGUAUUUUCCGGUAGACGAUGGGGAUGCGUUCCAUUAGAUAGUAGGCGGGGUAACGGCCCACCUAGUCAACGAUGGAUAGGGGUUCUGAGAGGAAGGUCCCCCACAUUGGAACUGAGACACGGCCCAG